rnacentral:rRNA from 1 species
GACGAACCUGACAAACGUUAUUCGGAAUUACUGGGCUUAAAGGGUGCGUAGGCGGCGCGACAAGUUGGGUGUGAAAUCCCUCGGCUCAACCGAGGAACUGCGCUCAAUACUGUCGUGCUCGAGGGAGACAGAGGUGAGCGGAACUUAGGGUGGAGCGGUGAAAUGCGUAGAUAUCGUAAGGAAGACCAGUGGCGAAGGCGGGUCUCUGGACAGUUCCUGACGCUGAGGCACGAAGGUCAGGGGAGCAAACGGG